UACGUAGGGGGCAAGCGUUGGUCCGGAUUUAUUGGGCGUAAAGAGCGUGUAGGCGGCCAGGUAGGUCAGCUGUGAAAACUCGAGGCUCAACCUCGAGACGCCGGUUGAAACCAUCUGGCUAGAGUCCGGAAGAGGAGAGUGGAAUUCCUGGUGUAGCGGUGAAUGCGCAGAUAUCAGGAAGAACACCCGUGGCUAAGGCGGCUCUCUAGUACGGUACUGACGCUGAGACGCGAAAGCGUGGGGAGCGAACAGG
rnacentral:rRNA from 1 species